GCGCCAUUAGCUCAGCUGGAUAGAGUGUCGGACUACGAAUCCGAAGGUCACAUGUUCGAAUCAUGUAUGGCGCGCCA
rnacentral:tRNA from 1 species